UACAUAGGUCUCAAGCGUUGUUCGGAUUCAUUGGGCGUAAAGGGUGCGUAGGCGGCGCGGUAAGUCGGGUGUGAAAUCUCGGGGCUUAACUCCGAAACUGCAUUCGAUACUGCCGUGCUUGAGGACUGGAGAGGAGACUGGAAUUUACGGUGUAGCGGUGAAAUGCGAAGAUAUCGUAAGGAAGACCAGUGGCGAAGGCGGGUCUCUGGACAGUUCCUGACGCUGAGGCACGAAAGUCAGGGGAGCAAACGGG
rnacentral:rRNA from 1 species